rnacentral:piRNA from 2 species
UGACUCUAGUCUGGCACGGUGAA